CAGUAGCCGCGGUAAUACGUAGGUGGCAAGCGUUGUCCGGAAUUAUUGGGCGUAAAGGGCUCGCAGGCGGUUUCUUAAGUCUGAUGUGAAAGCCCCCGGCUCAACCGGGGAGGGUCAUUGGAAACUGGGAUACUUGAGUGCAGAAGAGGAGAGUGGAAUUCCACGUGUAGCGGUGAAAUGCGUAGAGAUGUGGAGGAACACCAGUGGCGAAGGCGACUCUCUGGUCUGUAACUGACGCUGAGGAGCGAAAGCGUUGGGAGCGAACAGGAUUAGAGACCCGCGUAGUCCCUGUCUCUUAUAC
rnacentral:rRNA from 1 species